AUAUUUACCCUGCAGGGAAGAUACCAUGAUCAAGAAGGAUGUCUUCCCAGAGUAAGGCUUACCCAUUACACUCUGAUAUGCUGACUCCUGCAAUUUCCCCAAAUGCAAAAAACUCAACUGCAUAAUUUGUGGUAGUGGGGAUAUAGCAUUUUUCCAUA